GUCUACAGCCAUAUCACCCUGAGCAUACCCAGUCUCAUCUGAUCUCGCAAGCUAAGCAGGAUUGGGCCUGGUUAGUUAGCACUUGGAUGUAAGGAAUAAAACUUUUUUUUUUUUGCUCCCUUGAAGUAGUGAAUA
rnacentral:rRNA from 1 species